UGUGGUUAACAGAAAAAUCUAUGGUAUGGCCUGCUCUAACAUAUCAAUACUAUUUUCUUUUAUUUUUUUAAAAAAUAAAAAAAAAUUUCAAAAUGCUUGGGCAAUAGCAUCUCAGUGAGACCAACAAAAAGAAUAGAGCUAAGUAUGAUGACCCUCAUUGCACUGGUAGUAAGAGCUUUGCAAGGGUUAUUGAUGAGAAGACCAAGGCAAACAAUGGUGUGCGACCUUCUCAUGCAAAGUUGUAUAUAGAAACUCGUACAAAAAAAGAUGGUAGCUAUGUGAACGACAAGAUGGCUGAAAUUUAUGAGCUAAUGAAAGAAGGAAUGCAAGAAGUAAGUGGUUCAGAAAGUACCGAAAGACAAAGGUAUUGGAACAAUGAUGUGUACUCCCAUGUCAAAGGGCCAAAAAAAAGAGGAAGGAUUCAUUGUGUAGAGAAAGUUUCCUCUUGUUCAAAAGCUACUUCAUCCACAUCAGUUGAGCAAGAGAGAGAGUCAACUCAUUUAAGAAAUAUAGUUCAACACUUAGGGAGUGAAGUGGAUUGAAGGGGCUUGUUGCCAGCUUGAUUGAUGUUUUUCAAUCUCAAGCACAAGUAAACCCACAAGUGGCCGAGUUGAUAGAGUUAGCAUAACGACAAAUCUGUAAUGAGGUACAAUUUAGUUCCAUUCAUGAGGCUUGGUAUAUGGGCCAUAAGAUAUGUUCCUGGUGGUAUGAAGCUGAUACAGGUGGUAGCUUAGUCUUUGAUUUUUCUGAGACAAUUAUGA